rnacentral:rRNA from 1 species
UACGUAGGGUGCGAGCGUUAAUCGGAAUUACUGGGCGUAAAGCGUGCGCAGGCGGUUCGUUGUGUCGGCGGUGAAAGCCCCGGGCUUAACCUGGGAAUGGCCGUCGAACUGGCGAACUGGAGUGUGGCAGAGGGGGGGUGGAAUUCCGAGUGUAGAGGUGAAAUUCGUAGAUAUUCGGAAGAACACCAGUGGCGAAGGCGACUCACUGGACACGUAUUGACGCUGAGGUGCGAAAGCGUGGGGAGCAAACAGG